GUAAUCCAUCCCUAAGCUGCUCCAAGUAACAAUCCUGUUAGUGGACCAGAAAGCUGCUUUCUCUCAGACCAUUGAUUUCAAAGCUGGAAAACAGCAGGCACUGUGUUGGGAGUAAGCAAUGUGGAGUCAUCUCUUCCCCCAGAGAAACGCUGACAAGUAUUAGCUCACAGACAUGUGUGCACAAAGAUGGAUGCUCACAGUUGUCCGUUGGAGCACUGUUUGAAGCAGCAAAAGGAACCAAUUCAACUUUCCCUGAGUAGGAAAAUGGCUAAAUAAAUGCAGGACCUUCAAGAGGUGAUUGGGUCAUGAGAGUUCUGCACUCGUGAAUGGAUUAAUGUCAACAUCAUCAAGAAGCCCCUUGCCAGAAGCAAGCCUCAUGACUUAGGACUUUCCAGCCUCCAGAAUUGUAAGAAAUAGAUUUCUGUACUUCAUAUAAAAAAGUAUGAUGUGAUUGAUGCUU
rnacentral:lncRNA from 10 species